rnacentral:rRNA from 1 species
CCUACGGGAGGCAGCAGUGAGGAAUAUUGGUCAAUGGGCGAGAGCCUGAACCAGCCAAGUCGCGUGAGGGAGUACUGCCCUAUGGGUUGUAAACCUCUUUUGUCGGGGAGCAAAAGCCGGACGUGUCCGGCUGUGAGAGUACCCGAAGAAAAAGCAUCGGCUAACUCCGUGCCAGCAGCCGCGGUAAUACGGAGGAUGCGAGCGUUAUCCGGAUUUAUUGGGUGUAAAGGGUGCGGCGGCGGAUGUUUACGUCAGCGGUCAAAUCGUGGGGCUCAACCCAAUCCAGCCGUUGAAACUGGGGUGCUAGAGUGUGCGAGAGGUAUGCGGAAUGCGUGGUGUAGCGGUGAAAUGCA